rnacentral:rRNA from 1 species
GGACGAACGCUGGCGGCGUGCCUAAUACAUGCAAGUUGAGCGAUGAAGAUUGGUGCUUGCACCAAUUUGAAGAGCAGCGAACGGGUGAGUAACGCGUGGGGAAUCUGCCUUUGAGCGGGGGACAACAUUUGGAAACGAAUGCUAAUACCGCAUAACAACUUUAAACAUAAGUUUUAAGUUUGAAAGAUGCAAUUGCAUCACUCAAAGAUGAUCCCGCGUUGUAUUAGCUAGUUGGUGAGGUAAAGGCUCACCAAGGCGAUGAUACAUAGCCGACCUGAGAGGGUGAUCGGCCACAUUGGGACUGAGACACGGCCCAAACUCCUACGGGAGGCAGCAGUAGGGAAUCUUCGGCAAUGGACGAAAGUCUGACCGAGCAACGCCGCGUGAGUGAAGAAGGUUUUCGGAUCGUAAAACUCUGUUGGUAGAGAAGAACGUUGGUGAGAGUGGAAAGCUCAUCAAGUGACGGUAACUACCCAGAAAGGGACGGCUAACUACGUG